GCGAAGGCGUCCAGACGCCCAACCUGUGCGGGUAUCUCGCGUCAUUGACGGUUCGAAAAUCGGUGGAUAGAAGAACGAGGCGUUAGAGAAAAACGGAUCAACGAAGAGUUUCGGAAACGUUGGCAAACACACCGAAGAAAUUCACGUCGCUGUUACACCGGUGUCGUUCACGAAACAACUCGGAUGUCGUUCUUCAGGGGUCUGUGGAAAAGCAGCUCGAAGCACAAGAAGCUGUGCGAGGAAUGGGCUCUCGCCAACAGCCGCGAGUGCGUCGAGGGGGGUGUCGGGGGCGGCGGGGGCCAGGAAGACGCCGAGGAUCCGGCGGAGGCCACGUUCUCUCUGAAAUACCUGGGAAGCACCCUCGUCGAGACGCCCUCCAGCGAGGAGGCCACCGCCGAGGCCAUCAAAACCAUCAUCACCAUGGCAAAAGCGAGUGGAAAAAAAUUGCAGAGGGUGUCCCUGGCGGUUAGCCUACGGGGAAUUCGCAUGACCGAUGUGGCAACGGAAGAGGAUCAGCUCCAGGUCUCGAUUUACAGGAUCUCUUACUGUUCGGCUGACGCGACCCACGAUCAUGUUUUCGCCUUCAUCGCGACAAACCUCAACGAGACAAUGGAGUGUCACGCUUUUCUAUGCCCUAAGAGGAAAAUGGCCCAGACUGUUACUCUCACGGUGGCUCAGGCCUUCAACACAGCGUAUCAGGCCUGGCAGCUGACUCAAGUCGAUCCUCGUAUUCACCAUACAACUGACAAGAGCCCUCCGAUGACCGACGAAAAUUGUAUUGAAUAUCACGACAAGAUCGUCAACGAGACGAAAAACAACGAGAAACACAACCGACAGAAUAACCAAAAUGUAAAACGUAACAACAUCAAUGAGACUCAGAAGAAUCUCCUGAUCGAUUUAUCGUCCGAUUCUAAGCCAAAGGAAAAUUCGUGGGUUUGCUUCGAGGAGGAAACGGGAGUGGACAAUAAAAACACGAGGAACAACAACUCGCCGACGAGCAUCCCGAUGUCGACGCUCAGAGCGACGCCGACGCCGACGCGGCUCGUCACUCCGCGACCUUCACCUUCGCCCUUGGCGGGGCAGAACGCCUGGGGCGAGUCCAGGUCGGUCGACUUGAUGUGCUCGUAGCCCUUAUAGCCCAGGGCCGACAACUUCCGCGAUGUGCCCCUCAUCACCGGACUCUGGAAGCACCUUUCGGCCAGCGGUAUACCGAGGAACUUUUCCUCCUAAAUUCGAAACCUGAAACGUGCGCCGACCACGGUUAUCGCGGUCCUUGCGGUGAUCCUGCGGAGAUCCUGCACUGAGAAAAAUUUCAUUUGUUGGAGUAACUGGAAAAAUUCAGUCAAACAGUUGCAGAGAGUGGCAUCAGGAAUAGAAGAGAUGGAGCCGCAAUCCAAUCCAACGAGGGUAGAUUCAGAUGACUUCGACGUUAGUCAGGUGCGAUGCGAGAGUAGUUGAAGAUCGGCCUCAGAUUUUAUCAGGAUGUGAUCAGAGGACGCAUCCCGCUUGACGUAUACCAAUCCAUUUCGAGUCCAGAUGAAGCGAGAGAUA
rnacentral:misc_RNA from 1 species